CUCAGCCGCCACCAGUUCGGGCUCGGGCUCGGGCUCCGACUCUUCGGGUUCGGGUUCCGGCUGGGGCUCGCCACCGCCGCACGGUCCGCGAAACUCGCCCAGGAAUAGCUCCAGGAAGCGCCGGGUCCGUAUGUGCGGAAAGAUACCACAGUGCGAAAACCUUCUACUGUCGAUGACAUUAAUAAGUAGUUUGCAGGGGAAGGCAUUCAACAUCUACAAAGUUACAGAACUUCUCCACUUGAAACCCCAGUUCCUGACCCAGAAAUGCUACUCUUUUCUGUGAGAAUGAAUGUGACCCACAGGGACCUGGCGCAUCAUGCACUUUUCACAAGGCUGGGCAAGUACGAAUAAAUCAAUCCUUGUGGGACGGGAUAUGCAUUUGGAAUGCACUUUAAUUUUCAAGAUAUAUAUGAAUACUCUUUCGACUUUGUCCUUUAAUACUAAAGGAAAGGAGAAAACCUAUACAUGAGCACUAAAAAAUCUGAUCUUCUCCAGAAAUCAAAACAAGUAAGUUAUCCUUCAGAACCAAAUAUGUAACUGUUAGCUGGUGAUACUUUUUUUUUUUUGUUUCUCAUUCUUUCUUUUGAAAGUUAGUCACUCAGUGCAGUCUGACUCUUGCAAUCAAAUGGACUGUAGCCCAACAGACUAUCUGUCCAUGGAAUUUUCCUGGCAAAAAUAUUGGAGUGGCUUGCCAUUUCCUACUCCAAGCAAUAAAUUAUUUUUAAUUAAGGUAUAUACACUGUAUUUUUAGACACAUGCUUUUGCACACUUAAUAAACUAAAGUGUAAAUAAAACUUUUUAUGUACUGGGAAACUAUAAAAGUUUGUGUGAUUUAUUUGCUUUAUUGCAGUGGUCUGGUACCAAAUAGGAAAAGGAGUACGUCAAGGCUGUAUAUUGUCACCCU
rnacentral:lncRNA from 1 species